rnacentral:rRNA from 1 species
AGCGAACGCUGGCGGCAGGCCUAACACAUGCAAGUCGAACGAACUCUUCGGAGUUAGUGGCGGACGGGUGAGUAACACGUGGGAACGUGCCUUUUGGUUCGGAAUAACUCAGGGAAACUUGUGCUAAUACCGAAUGUGCCCUUCGGGGGAAAGAUUUAUCGCCAUUAGAUCGGCCCGCGUCUGAUUAGCUAGUUGGUGAGGUAACGGCUCACCAAGGCGACGAUCAGUAGCUGGUCUGAGAGGAUGACCAGCCACACUGGGACUGAGACACGGCCCAGACUCCUACGGGAGGCAGCAGUGGGGAAUCUUGCGCAAAGGGCGAAAGCCUGACGCAGCCAUGCCGCGUGAAUGAUGAAGGUCUUAGGAUUGUAAAACUCUUUCACCGGGGACGAUAAUGACGGUACCCGGAGAAGAAGCCCCGGCUAACUUCGUG